CCUACGGGUGGCAGCAGUGAGGAAUAUUGGUCAAUGGGCGCGAGCCUGAACCAGCCAAGUCGCGUGAGGGAAGACGGUCCUAUGGAUUGUAAACCUCUUUUGUCGGGGAGCAAAAAUGCCUCGUGAGGCCCCAAGUGAGAGUACCCGAAGAAAAAGCAUCGGCUAACUCCGUGCCAGCAGCCGCGGUAAUACGGAGGAUGCGGGCGUUGUCCGGAAUCAUUGGGCUUAAAGGGGUCGUAGGCGGCAUGUAAGGUCAGGUGUGAAAGGGGCAGGCUCAACCUGUGUAUGGCAAUUGAUACUGGCAAGCUGGAAUGCGGUAGAGGUAAAGGGAAUACGUGGUGUAGCGGUGAAAUGCUUAGAUAUCAGGAGGAACAUCGAUAGCGUAAGCGCUUUACUGGGCCGUAAUUGACGCUGAGGAACGAAAGCCAGGGUAGCAAAUGGGAUUAGAUACCCGUGUAGUC
rnacentral:rRNA from 1 species